rnacentral:rRNA from 1 species
GCAAGUCGAGGGGCAGCACGAUCUUCGGAUUGGUGGCGACCGGCGCACGGGUACGUAACGCGUAUGCAACCUACCUUAUACUGAGGGAUAGCCCGGAGAAAUUCGGAUUAAUACCUCAUGGUAUCAUCAGAAGGCAUCUGAAGAUGAUUAAAGAUUUAUCGGUAUAAGAUGGGCAUGCGUGACAUUAGUUAGUUGGUGAGGUAACGGCUCACCAAGACUAUGAUGUCUAGGGGUUCUGAGAGGAUGAUC